rnacentral:rRNA from 1 species
GACGAACGCUGGCGGCGUGCCUAAUACAUGCAAGUUGAGCGCUGAAGGUUGGUACUUGUACCAACUGGAUGAGCAGCGAACGGGUGAGUAACGCGUGGGGAAUCUGCCUUUGAGCGGGGGACAACAUUUGGAAACGAAUGCUAAUACCGCAUAAAAACUUUAAACACAAGUUUUAAGUUUGAAAGAUGCAAUUGCAUCACUCAAGGAUGAUCCCGCGUUGUAUUAGCUAGUUGGUGAGGUAAAGGCUCACCAAGGCGAUGAUACAUAGCCGACCUGAGAGGGUGAUCGGCCACAUUGGGACUGAGACACGGCCCAAACUCCUACGGGAGGCAGCAGUAGGGAAUCUUCGGCAAUGGACGAAAGUCUGACCGAGCAACGCCGCGUGAGUGAAGAAGGUUUUCGGAUCGUAAAACUCUGUUGGUAGAGAAGAACGUUGGUGAGAGUGGAAAGCUCAUCAAGUGACGGUAACUACCCAGAAAGGGACGGCUAACUACGUG